GGCCGCAUCGCGUUGGAACACCGGUUCUUGUCCGAUCACCGGAGUUAAGCAACGUCGAGUCUAGUCAGUGCCUAGAUGAGUUACUGCUUGGGAAUACCAGGGGCUGUCA